rnacentral:lncRNA from 10 species
UGCAUUAAGAAACCUGUACAUCAAGGGUGUCACCUGUCUAGGGUAGGGUAAUAUAGAGUAGUUGUUCUCAAAUGCGAGCAUUGGAGUGACCUGGAGGGCUUGUAAAAUACAGAAGGUCACCUACAUUCUCAGGAUUUCUGAUUCAGUAGGUUUGGUGUGGGGUCUGAGAAUCUAAAUUUCUAAUAACUUAAUUUCUGUAGGUUCCAAUAGUUUCCCAAAUCAUGCUGAUGCUGCCUCCUGAGAAAUAUUUUCAGAAUCACUGAGAAAAAUGUAUGAAAUAGUUAAUGUCCUUGCUCUGUGUCAGUGGUAAGUUCCAGUUUGUUUAUUUUAUUGAGAAAAAGAAGGUAAUUAAUUAAUUAAGCAAUUAAUAUUUAUUUAUUUAUAUUUGAGAUGGAGUCUCACUCUGUUUGUUGCCCAGGCAGGAGUUGCAGUGAGCUGAGAUUGCAUCAUUGCACUCCAGCCUGGGCGACAGAGUGAGACUCCAUCUCAAAAAAAAAAAAAAAAAG